rnacentral:rRNA from 1 species
UACGGGGGGGGGCAAGCGUUGUUCGGAAUUACUGGGCGUAAAGGGCUCGUAGGCGGCCAACUAAGUCGGACGUGAAAUCCCCAGGCUCAACCUGGGAACUGCGUCCGAUACUGGAUGGCUUGAAUUCGGGAGAGGGAUGCAGAAUUCCAGGUGUAGCGGUGAAAUGCGUAGAUAUCUGGAGGAAUACCGGUGGCGAAGGCGGCAUCCUGGACCGACAUUGACGCUGAUGAGCGAAAGCUAGGGGAGCAAACGGGG